UACAGAGGGUGCAAGCGUUGUUCGGAAUUAUUGGGCGUAAAGGGCGCGUAGGCGGUGCGGUAAGUCUGUAGUGAAAUCUCUGGGCUCAACCCCAGAGUCUGCUGCAGAAACUGCCGUGCUUGAGUGUGGGAGAGGUGAGUGGGAAUUCCCCGGUGUAGCGGUGAAAUGCGUAGAUAUCGGGAGGAACACCUGUGGCGAAAGCGGCUCACUGGACCACAACUGACGCUGAGGCGCGAAAGCUAGGGGAGCAAACAGG
rnacentral:rRNA from 1 species